AAUUACCUGGAAUGUGCGAUGAUCCUAUUAUUUUGAACCUACAUUUACUUUAAACGGGAGACUCAUAUUGUCCUGCCGAUGUCAAGCCGCCCUGGAAACAGAAGUCAGCGGAAGGCAGACGUUGUGACUGCGGUUACCCACCUAGCAUAGCGCUAGGAGUCAAAAGAUAGGAAACGGCAUCCCGGGGUUACA
rnacentral:other from 1 species